GGAAGAUUCGACUGAGACCCUGACGUGGUGUCGGUACUCUCCGCCACACGCUUGGAAAGCGUGUUGGGGGCAACCCCUCACGAGUUCGAAUCUCGUAUCCUCCG
rnacentral:tRNA from 1 species